rnacentral:rRNA from 1 species
GACGAACGCUGGCGGCGUGCUUAACACAUGCAAGUCGAACGGUGAAGCGCCUUCCUUUUUGGUGGGUGUGGAUGAGUGGCGAACGGGUGAGUAACACGUGAGUAACCUGCCCCCUUCUUCUGGAUAACCGCAUGAAAGUGUGGCUAAUACGGGAUAUUCUGGGUCUGUCGCAUGAUGGGUCUGGGUAAGAUGUUGUUUCGGUGGGGGCUGGGCUCGCGGCCUAUCAGCUUGUUGGUGGGGUGAUGGCCUACCAAGGCUGGGACGGGUAGCCGGCCUGAGCGGGUGGCCGGUCACACUGGGACUGAGGCACGGCCCAGACGCGUACGGGAGGCAGCAGUGGGGAAUAUGGGACAAUGGGCGCAAGCGUGAUGCAGCGACGCCGCGUGAGGGAUGGAGGCCUUCGGGUUGUGAACCUCUUUCGCUAGUGAAGCAGGCCUGCCUCGUUUGUGGGUGGGUUGACGGUAGCGGGAUAAGAAGCGCCGGCUAACUACGUG